GAAUGGCAUGGGAAGGACAGAAGCUAGGGCAGGCAGUGCUUCUUUGGGCAGGAUGCACCCCUUGGUGACCUCAGGCCCACAGGCAGAUGCUGCUCCAUGGAGCCAUGUGACAUGCCCCGUUGUCACUGGUGCCUGAGAGCUGGCAGGGAGCUUCAUUGCACUGGAAAUCCUAGAAUCACUCUGCCUCCCAAACCCACUCACCUGCCUGGCAGCUGGGGGGAGGGGGAUGAUGAGGGAGAGACAUCAGCUCCUCUCCAUCUCUAAUGUAUCUCUCAUUAUCCCUGUUGACAAAGCUUUGUGAGCCUAUGGUUUUGGAAUCUAUCCAGUCUCCUGCUGCUGGUGGAUGCUCACCCUUCUGCCAAGGACCUCCCAGUGCCCCUCUGUGACCUGGCACACCACUCAGCUCCAUCUGUGGAAACCAGGACCUGGCACCAUGGGCCAUGCAGUGCCUGUGUGUGCUGAAAUACAUCUUUAAUGUAGACAUUAACAUGAUUUACUGUUAAUUACAUGCAAAUUGAUUAUUAGUAUAUUUAUUGAAUGUUGACAUCUGGGUGACAGUCUUCAAUAAAUAUGUUUUACUAAUUAGUUAACAUUAAUUAAUAUCAAAAUCCUCUGUAGGUUUAGCAAGUCAGUGAACAUCAAUGAGGCCCCUCUGUUGCUGCCAGUGUUGCUGGAUGUUGGCGGUGUUGCUGGCAGCACUCAUCUGUUCCUGGCAGCAGUGUGGAGCACAAGUGGGCCCAGGGGGUCCAAGGGCAGUGGUAGUGCUGGAAGGACAGAUGGACGCAUGCCCAGAGGGAGAAGCCUCUGGGAAACAUUGCUCUUGGGAGAGCCCCCCAUGGAGCAGGGCCUGCCUGAGGGCAGGAGGGCUGCCAGCUUGAGCCAAGGUGGUAGUGGCCAGGCAGUGCUUGCAAGAAGCUCUGGAGACCCCUUUCUCCAGGACACAGGGCUGCUUCCAGGUAUAUCCGAGCAGCAGAAGAAGGAUGCUGUUCUCACCUGCAUGCAGGACCCUUGUUAUGGCAGGGCAAUCCCCAGCCAGCAAUGCAGAGGAGUUCUUAUGCUGAAUUUAAACCACCAAGCAGAUCAACUCCUAAGCUACAUGGGCAGCAUUUUCUCUUGCCUCCCCAUCCUUAGCAGGGCAGGAUCCAUACAGUGCCUGCUGACUGUGUCUUCUUUUGUCCAGCACAAGAAGAUGAGCAGCAUCCCUGAGGAGUAAAUGGCCAAGGUAGUGGGGAGAGUGGCUCCGCGCUGGGGUCAUACUUGAGUCUUGCCAUGCUAAUGCUCCUUGGUUGACAGUUAUGAUUCUUCCCUGCUUCUGCCUUGUGCAAACACCUUAGAGCUGGGACACCAAGAAGUGAAUACGCUGAACCCUUAGAGCUGCUCUGUUCAGGCAGAUGGACAGGCUGUGGGGUGCCUGAGCCCCUUCUGCUCUGCUCUGAGGACAGCAGACACAGGGAAAAUACCUGAAGAGCUCAACACGCAGCUGCAACAGGAGCUGGGUGUUUGGUUACUGGUUAGAAUAAUUUUGGUCUUGCUCAGCUGCUCUUUGCUUCCCUCACUGUGGGAGUCUGACACCCCUUCUGUGAGCAGGGGCAGGUGCCCAGUCAGCAGGGUUUCUGCUUUCCCGAGCUGGACAUGUCUGCCUGCUGCGGGCAGGCAUGUCAAAUCACACCUACCAUAUUGGCUUCCUGUCCCCAGAAUAUCAGAUUUUUGCAGCUAAUGUGCGGGGGGUGUCUCCUCCUGCCAAUCCCCACCCCCGGCAGCAUCAGCUGGAUGCUCAAGAGCAGUGGAUCUAUCAACUGCAGACCAAGCAGAGGGAGAGGCAGGCAGACCUGGAGCAGAAAUGCAGCCAGAGCAGCAGCUCAGCCAGGACCUGGGGGCCAGCCACCAGCUACGGAAGGGAGCUUGGAGCAGCUUGUUCCAGGAGAAGACAGUGCAAUUUGGUGAUUCAUUGCUGGAGUCUGGUUGGUGCAUCCAUGCUGGGCUGGUGAGGCCACAGAUCCCACGGUGCUUCCGGGAGCGCUCUGCCAGCCUCAGCCACCCGCAGCUCCUGGGCUCUGGAAGCAGAAAUGGGGUCUUGCAUUCCAUCAGUGUUCCCAAGGUGAGCAGGAAGGGAUUGGGCUGCCUGACCUCCAGUACCUACGGUCAUGAAAAUUUCCCCUUACUCUGAAAUCAGUAACUUGUCUGACUAAGAUAGCUUCAGACAAGUGUUUGGCUGGGCUUGAAGACAUCAAGUGAUGGCAAAUGCAUGACAUCCUCCUCUGGCAGUCAGUCCCUUCACAUCGUUCCUACUGUUUUGGGUUUUUUUCCUCUCAUGACUGCUAUGCCAACAGAGCUAAUGAAGCUUUCUAUGCGGCAGCAAUAUGGUCUCAACUUUGUUUCCCUUGGGUUUUAUCCUGUGUCUUAGAAUACUCCUUUCUUUUUGG